rnacentral:rRNA from 1 species
AAGAUUAAGCCAUGCACAUGUAAGAUCGGCAUAGGCUUUACUGCUUCGGCAGUUUGCUCAUUGUUAAUCUGUGGACAGCUCAUUAUAACAGUUAUACACUUAGCCACUGGUACGUUUGGUGCAAGCCAAUUUACAAGGAUAACUUUGUCAAAUGCAGCGAUAAUACUUGAGUGACGAGUCAGUGCAAGCUGACUGGCAUUAGCGUACAUGUCUCACGAUCGUGAGGAAACCGCGCUACUGUAACUCUUGGUUUGUUAACAGGCUUGCUUGUUAACGGCCGGAGCGUCGACCAUUAGGAGUGCGCAAGCACAUAAAGUUUGUCAAACAGUGUUUUAAUAAGGCUCUGUAGGGUAGCUUUUACUAGUGGCCAGGAAGAGGUGUUUCUUAUCUAUCAGCUGAAGUUGUUUCAGUAAGGGUAAAACACGGCGAUUACGGAUACGGGGGAUCAGUGUCUGAUUCCGGAGAGGGAGCCUGAGAAAUGGCUACUACAUCUAAGGACGGCAGCAGGCGCGAAAAUUACCCAAUCUCAAUUCGAGGAGGUAGUGACAAGAAAUAACAACUUUACACCAUUUGGUGGAAAGGUACUAUCUAAUAGUUUGGAAUGGUUUUAGAUUAAAAUUCUAUUAGAGUAACGACUAGAGGAAAAGUCUGGUGAAGUCUGUCGCCAGUAAGAGUUGUCCAGUAAUGGAUGGCUAGUUGCAGUGACCACAUUUGAUCUUGUGGUAGCAGCGAAAUAACCAAAUUGCGGGAAGUCCUCCGUUAAGGUUUAACAGUACCGUUCUUUAUUGAACUAUGGUGGGAGAGAAGCCCACUUGAUGGUAAUAAUCUGUUAGAUGUAGGCUAAUCCGCAGCUGCUCUGUUAACAUGCUCGACUUUUUAUUUCUAUUUUUUCUGUGCAAUGGGGUUUAAGAGUUAAUCAGCCAAAACGGGGCCUCUACUUUAGAGGUACAGCUACAAUGUAGUGAAGUAACCGUACUAAGUUCAUUAAUUUGAAUGGAAAGUCUAGAGACUACACGGCUGAGCGAAAUAGCACUCUUAAAUGGAUAGUCCUCAGUAUUCCAUCUGAGUAUCCCAUACAAAAUGGUUUUAGGUAUACGUAAACGUCUACCUUUUGGACAUGUGUUGCGUCGCUUAACAGCUCGCCACAUUCUCCUCGUGAAAAGUGCAGAAAAAAGAAGAAAAAAGAAAGUAAUAAUUGACCGUAGUCAAUUUCGAGAUGGUUAUGACCCAUUGGUCACGACUGAUUAUCAUAAAAAAUGUUAUGAGAAAUUACAAAACAAACCUAAUCCAAAAAAUCCUCUCCAGCACAGUACAGGCAAUUCUGCAAAAACUGCAAAAACAGUUUUUAACGGGUGGCUUAAUACUAACCUGGGGGACAAAGGUAGAAGUGGUAAGCAAAAACCUUACAUAUUUUCUACCCUAGUAAAGGAGAUUUGCUGUGAACAUCCAUUUGGAGAGUGCCUUUUAGGCGCAUCAACAAAAACUAAGAGUGGUUUUAAGUGUAGAUUAAUGAGUACAAAAGGCAGUGAUGCUUAUGUACAUCAUGUAAGUAUACUUGCAAACUCUCAGUCUGAUACUCCAAUUCACACAAAGGAUAUUAUAAAAAAGGUUUCUACAAAGAAGCAGGAAAAAAAUGCACAUUCUGUUUCCCAUAUUUGUGGGAAUGGUGGGUGUGCAAGACCAGGUCACUUACUCAUUGAACCUAAAAGUAUCAAUGAUGAACGUGUUGGUUGCCACAGAAUGCUUCGUAGAUGUAAAUGUAAAUAUGAUGCAAGAGUUGUAAGACGCUUGUGUCCACAUAACCCUAAGUGUUUUAUUAAUGUGUAUACACAAAUAAAACCUUAUUUUUGAUAAACAUGUUUUCUAGAGUAAGUUCAGAGACUAGAUGGUUGUUGGCAAUCACAUAUUUUGUGUUUUGCUUAAGGUAUAGUCCAAUCCCAUCCGAUGGAAAAGGAUGAGCUUAUUGCAAGGAUAUUGAUCAUAUCCCCAGAAUAAGAAUCCAGGUAUUUAUGGCCAGCACCCGCGGUAAUUCCAGCUCUAGUAGCGUAUAUUAAUACUGUUGUAGUUAAAACGCUCGUAGUUGACCUAAGGAUUGUAGGUUUUGAUUCGGUGUUAGCCUGUUCUUCUGCAGUUCCGUGUUAUAACGGGGUUGCAUGGAAUUAGGUUGAUAUCCGUGGCAUUUGUCCCCAUAGACUUUGUCCGUGGGUGUUCAGGUGUGGGUUUUUACUUACAGUCCGAUCCUUGCCAAUGGUUCGCCAUUGGUAAAGGCCUUAUGGUACAACUGUAAACAAAUCAGAGUGCUCAAAGCAGGCAUUGUUAAUGGGGAUUUAUCUUCAGUUUUGCUUGAAUGAUUUAGCAUGGGAUUGUCUUGGAGCCGUGAAUAGUGCCCUCAGCAAUGGGGAACGCUGUUCACUGGCGCUUGUAAUGUGAAGCAGGGAGAGGGCUCAAGUACUAUGGUGCUAGAGGUGAAAUUUAGAUACCAGCAUAUGACUUUCUGAUGCGAAAGCUGUUAUUGUCCAAUACACUUCUUUCGAUCAGGGACGAAAGUUAGGGGAUCGAAGAUGAUUAGAUACCGUCGUAGUCCUAACUAUAAACGAUACCAACAAGAGAUUGGUAGUGAAACCAUUUAAGAUCCUCUCAGAAUCCAAGGGAAACCUAAAGUCUUUGGGUUCUGGGGGGAGUAUAGUCGCAAGGCCGAAACUUAAAGGAAUUGACGGAAAGGCACCACCAGGAGUGGAGUUUGCGGCUUAAUUCGACUCAACGCGGGAAAACUCACCAGGACAGGACAGAGGUAUGAUUGACAGGUUGAAAGUCUUUUCUUGAUUCUCUGGAUGGUGGUGCAUGGCCGUUCUUAGUUCGUGGAGUGAUUUGUCUUGUUAAUUCAGUUAACGAACGAGACCUUAACCUACUAACUAGGCUAUAGGCUAGCUUUACGGCUAGUCAGUUUCUACGGGGUGGUUCGUAUGGGCCAUUUCUUGAAACCUAUAAUAUGGAACUACAUCUUCGGGUGUAGCUCCUGCUUCUUAGAGGGACAAUACUUCGUUUAUAUUAGAGUAAGGAAGUUUAAGGCAAUAACAGGUCUGUGAUGCCCUUAGAUGCCCUGGGCAGCACGCGUACUACACUGUUAAUACUAACAAGUCAGUACAAUGUAAAUACUUCGGUGUUUACUGGCCUUCUCCUUAAAGGAGUGGGAAAUCUUUUCAAACAUUAACGUGACAGGGAUAGCUGUUUGGAAUUCCAUCUUGAACGAGGAAUUCCUAGUAAUCGCGAUUCAUUAUAUCGCAUUGAUUACGUCCCUGCCUUUUGUACACACCGCCCGUCGCUCCUACCGAUGGAACAAAAAGGUGAAUUUGACGGACUUGAGCUUUGGCUUGGGGAAAUUAACUGAACCUUUUGUUGUAGGAAGGAGAAGUCGACA